UGCAGUCGAGGGGUAGAGUUAGCUUGCUUACACUUGAGACCGGCGCACGGGUGCGUAACGCGUAUGCAAUCUACCUUGUACAGGGGGAUAGCCCAGAGAAAUUUGGAUUAAUACCCCAUGGUGUUUAAGAGUGGCAUCACUUUUUUACUAAAGUUUAGGCGGUACAAGAUGAGCAUGCGUCCCAUUAGCUAGUUGGUAUGGUAACGGCAUACCAAGGCUACGAUGGGUAGGGGUCCUGAGAGGGAGAUCCCCCACACUGGUACUGAGACACGGACCAGACUCCUACGGGAGGCAGCAGUGAGGAAUAUUGGUCAAUGGUCGGAAGACUGAACCAGCCAUGCCGCGUGCAGGAAGACGGUCCUAUGGAUUGUAAACUGCUUUUAUACAGGAAGAAACCCUCUCACGAGUGGGAGCUUGACGGUACUGUAUGAAUAAGCAUCGGCUAACUCCGUGCCAC
rnacentral:rRNA from 1 species